UUUUGACAAUGGGCGCAAGCCUGAUCCAGCCAUGCCGCGUGAGUGAAGAAGGCCGUCGGGUUGUAAAGCUCUUUCGGACGGAAAGAAAUCUCGCAGGCUAAUACCGUGCUCGUAUGACGGUAGCGUCAUCAGAACCACCGACUGACUACGUGCGAGCAGCCGCGGUAAUACGUAGGGUGCGAGCGUUAAUCGGAAUUACUGGGCGUAAAGCGUGCGCAGGCGGUUGAUUAAGACAGGCGUGAAAUCCCCGGGCUUAACCUGGGGACUGCGCUUGUGACUGGUCAGCUAGAGUACGGCAGAGGGGGGUGGAAUUCCACGUGUAGCAGUGAAAUGCGUAGAGAUGUGGAGGAACACCGAUGGCGAAGGCAGCCCCCUGGGCCGAUACUGACGCUCAUGCACGAAAGCGUGGGUAGCAAACAGG
rnacentral:rRNA from 1 species